rnacentral:rRNA from 1 species
AACGAACGCUGGCGGCAUGCCUAACACAUGCAAGUCGAACGGGAUCCUAGCUUGCUAGGUGAGAGUGGCGGACGGGUGAGUAACACGUGGGAAUCUGCCUUUUGGUUCGGGAUAACCGCGGGAAACUGCGGCUAAUACCGAAUGCCCUCGAGAGAGGAAAGAUUUAUCGCCAGAAGAGGAGCCCGCGUCCGAUUAGGUAGUUGGUGGGGUAAAGGCCUACCAAGCCGACGAUCGGUAGCUGGUCUGAGAGGAUGAUCAGCCACACUGGGACUGAGAUACGGCCCAGACUCCUACGGGAGGCAGCAGUGGGGAAUAUUGGACAAUGGGGGCAACCCUGAUCCAGCAAUGCCGCGUGAGUGAUGAAGGCCUUAGGGUUGUAAAGCUCUUUUGUCAGGGAAGAAACGGUGAGUUCUAAUACAGCUUGCUAAUGACGGUACCUGAAGAAUAAGCACCGGCUAACUACGUGCCAGCAGCCGCGGUAAU